rnacentral:rRNA from 1 species
CGUGAGCAACCUGCCUUUCAGGAGGGGGAUAACGAUUGGAAACGAUCGCUAAUACCGCAUAACAUUGCAGAGCCGCAUGGUUUUGCAAUCAAAGGAGCAAUCCGCUGAGAGAUGGGCUCGCGUCCAAUUAGGUAGAUGGCGGGGUAGAGGCCCACCAUGCCGACGAUUGGUAGCCGGACUGAGAGGUUGAACGGCCACAUUGGGACUGAGACACGGCCCAGACUCCUACGGGAGGCAGCAG